rnacentral:misc_RNA from 1 species
UGUGGUGCUCGAGUUCUUGUGAAACCUUAUAGGGAAAAAUCAAAGCUUACUGAUAGGAGGUAUCAGGAGAGAAUUGAGCCUCCAUUCUAUUUCUCUUCUCAAUACGUAGAUACAGAUUCUGAGUUUUAUCCAAUGCGAAGAGGAUAUGAGACCUCAAGGUUGCUGAGAAAGCAGCUUAUGGAAGAGCAACAGGAGCAGGCUCUUGAAAUUCAGAGGAGGCGAUUUGCAGAACUGCGAACAGCUCAGAAGCCAAUGUCUAAUCAGUCUUAUUUUGGCUAC